rnacentral:rRNA from 1 species
UACGGGUAGCCGGCCUGAGAGGGCGACCGGCCACACUGGGACUGAGACACGGCCCAGACUCCUGCGGGAGGCAGCAGUGGGGAAUAUUGCGCAAUGGGCGAAAGCCUGACGCAGCGACGCCGCGUGGGGGAUGACGGCCUUCGGGUUGUAAACCUCUUUUACCACCAACGCAGGCUUCCAGUUCUCUGGAGGUUGACGGUAGGUGGGGAAUAAGGACCGGCUAACUACGUGCCAGCAGCCGCGGUAAUACGUAGGGUCCGAGCGUUGUCCGGAAUUAUUGGGCGUAAAGAGCUCGUAGGCGGCGUGUCGCGUCUGCUGUGAAAGACCGGGGCUUAACUCCGGUUCUGCAGUGGAUACGGGCAUGCUAGAGGUAGGUAGGGGAGACUGGAAUUCCUGGUGUAGCGGUGAAAUGCGCAGAUAUCAGGAGGAACACCGGUGGCGAAGGCGGGUCUCUGGGCCUUACCUGACGCUGAGGAGCGAAAGCAUGGGGAGCGAACAGGAUUAGAUACCCUGGUAGUCCAUGCCGUAAACGUUGGGCGCUAGGUGUGGGGACUUUCCACGGUUUCCGCGCCGUAGCUAACGCAUUAAGCGCCCCGCCUGGGGAGUACG